GCCUCGAUGGUGAAAUUGGUAGACACAGCGGACUUAAAAUCCGCCGCCAUCCUGAAAAGGGGCGUACCGGUUCGACCCCGGUUCGAGGCACCA
rnacentral:tRNA from 1 species